rnacentral:lncRNA from 1 species
CUCUUCACCUGUACAUUUUUAUCACGCAAUGCUCUACUCUCAUCUCCCCCCUCCCUUCUCUGCAGACCCAUCCCAACAGCAGCAGCUCGGCUCAGUUGUGCUCCUCAUUCUUAGGUUGCAGCACUUUGGUCAGAUGAAUUGUGUUCUCUUUUCAGGUACAGAAGCAAUGUACUGCUUUUUUUAAUCAUCACAACACACUUUGGUGUGCUGAUAAAGUGUAGUUCGAAUUGCAGGUUGGGAUUUUUAAUUCCAUUGCCUAAUCAUUUUUAAUAAUUGCAGCACUUAUUAGUUCAAUUAGUUGUACAAUUAGUAAGUAAUUUAAUUCGUGCUUUGCUGCUUUGCUUCUGUGCUGCUUCAUGAUUUCCUAUAGAUGUAGCUGCAGGUUCUUGUUAUUCUUUACGACAAAAAAAAUUCAGACUUUGCACCUUUGGCUGGUCAGAUCGGUGACACCCAUGGCCGUGGUGAGUUUGUAAUCCAAAUCCCGUGGUGUUGUGUUCACCAUCGUGGGUGCAAUGCAAGAUUGAACAUGGAGGCCUUCUGCAUCCAUGCCGACCAGGUCUUUCUCCCUGCAAUCAAUUGCAAAAUUUUGUACAGGAUUUGCUUCUGUUUGGAUAGAUCAAUGUAUUAUCCCAAGUGCAGAGGCCGUGUCUAG